AAUGGGGAAACCCAGCACGAGUUAUGUCGUGUUAUCGAUAUGUGAAUACAUAGCAUAUCUGAAGGCAGACGCGGAGAACUGAAACAUCUUAGUACCCGCAGGAAGAGAAAGAAAAAUCGAUUCCCUGAGUAGCGGCGAGCGAAACGGGAAGAGCCCAAACCAACGAGCUUGCUUGUUGGGGUUGUAGGACACUCUAUACGGAGUUACAAAAGAACAGACUAGACGAAUCAUCUGGAAAGAUGAAUCAAAGAAGGUAAUAAUCCUGUAGUCGAAAGUUUGUUCACUCUUGAGUGGAUCCUGAGUACGACGGAACACGAGAAAUUCCGUCGGAAUCUGGGAGGACCAUCUCCCAAGGCUAAAUACUCUCUAGUGACCGAUAGUGAACCAGUACCGUGAGGGAAAGGUGAAAAGUACCCCGGAAGGGGAGUGAAAUAGAACUUGAAACCGUGUGCUUACAAGUAGUCAGAGCCCGUUAAUGGGUGAUGGCGUGCCUUUUGUAGAAUGAACCGGCGAGUUACGAUUUGAUGCAAGGUUAAGCAGUGAAUGUGGAGCCGUAGCGAAAGCGAGUCUGAAUAGGGCGUUGAGUAUUUGGUCGUAGACCCGAAACCAGGUGAUCUACCCAUGACCAGGUUGAAGUUCAGGUAACACUGAAUGGAGGACCGAACCGACUUACGUUGAAAAGUGAGCGGAUGAGUUGUGGGUAGCGGAGAAAUUCCAAUCGAACCUGGAGAUAGCUGGUUCUCUCCGAAAUAGCUUUAGGGCUAGCCUCAAGUGAUGAUUAUUGGAGGUAGAGCACUGUUUGGACGAGGGGCCCUUAUCGGGUUACCGAAUUCAGACAAACUCCGAAUGCCAAUCAAUUUAACUUGGGAGUCAGAACGCGGGUGAUAAGGUCCGUGUUCGAAAGGGAAACAGCCCAGACCACCAGCUAAGGUCCCAAAAUAUAUGUUAAGUGGAAAAGGAUGUGGCGUUGCCCAGACAACUAGGAUGUUGGCUUAGAAGCAGCCAUCAUUUAAAGAGUGCGUAAUAGCUCACUAGUCGAGUGACACUGCGCCGAAAAUGUACCGGGGCUAAACAUAUUACCGAAGCUGUGGAUUGUCCGUAAGGACAAUGGUAGGAGAGCGUUCUAAGGGCGUUGAAGCAUGAUCGCAAGGACAUGUGGAGCGCUUAGAAGUGAGAAUGCCGGUGUGAGUAGCGAAAGACGGGUGAGAAUCCCGUCCACCGAUUGACUAAGGUUUCCAGAGGAAGGCUCGUCCGCUCUGGGUUAGUCGGGUCCUAAGCUGAGGCCGAUAGGCGUAGGCGAUGGAUAACAGGUUGAUAUUCCUGUACCACCAUUAUUCGUUUUAAGCGAUGGGGGGACGCAGUAGGAUAGGCGAAGCGUACGAUUGGAUUGUACGUCCAAGCAGUGAGAUUGAGUGUUAGGCAAAUCCGGCACUCUUAAGAUUGAGCUGUGAUGGGGAGAGGAAAUUGUUUCCUCGAGUCGUUGAUUUCACACUGCCAAGAAAAGCCUCUAGCUAGAAUUGUGGUGCCCGUACCGCAAACCGACACAGGUAGUCAAGAUGAGAAUUCUAAGGUGAGCGAGCGAACUCUCGUUAAGGAACUCGGCAAAAUGACCCCGUAACUUCGGGAGAAGGGGUGCUCUUUAGGGUUAACGCCCAGGAGAGCCGCAGUGAAUAGGCCCAAGCGACUGUUUAUCAAAAACACAGGUCUCUGCUAAACCGUAAGGUGAUGUAUAGGGGCUGACGCCUGCCCGGUGCUGGAAGGUUAAGAGGAGUGGUUAGCUUCUGCGAAGCUACGAAUCGAAGCCCCAGUAAACGGCGGCCGUAACUAUAACGGUCCUAAGGUAGCGAAAUUCCUUGUCGGGUAAGUUCCGACCCGCACGAAAGGCGUAACGAUUUGGGCACUGUCUCAACGAGAGACUCGGUGAAAUCAUAGUACCUGUGAAGAUGCAGGUUACCCGCGACAGGACGGAAAGACCCCGUGGAGCUUUACUGUAGUCUGAUAUUGAAAUUCGGCACAGCUUGUACAGGAUAGGUAGGAGCCUGAGAUACGUGAGCGCUAGCUUACGUGGAGGCGUUGGUGGGAUACUACCCUCGCUGUGUUGGAUUUCUAACCCGCACCAUUUAUCAUGGUGGGAGACAGUGUCAGAUGGGCAGUUUGACUGGGGCGGUCGCCUCCUAAAGAGUAACGGAGGCGCUCAAAGGUUUCCUCAGAAUGGUUGGAAAUCAUUCAUAGAGUGUAAAGGCAUAAGGAAGCUUGACUGCGAGACUUACAAGUCGAGCAGGGUCGAAAGACGGACUUAGUGAUCCGGUGGUUCCGCAUGGAAGGGCCAUCGCUCAACGGAUAAAAGCUACCCCGGGGAUAACAGGCUUAUCUCCCCCAAGAGUUCACAUCGACGGGGAGGUUUGGCACCUCGAUGUCGGCUCAUCGCAUCCUGGGGCUGUAGUCGGUCCCAAGGGUUGGGCUGUUCGCCCAUUAAAGCGGUACGCGAGCUGGGUUCAGAACGUCGUGAGACAGUUCGGUCCCUAUCCGUCGUGGGCGUAGGAAAUUUGAGAGGAGCUGUCCUUAGUACGAGAGGACCGGGAUGGACAUACCUCUGGUGUACCAGUUGUCGUGCCAACGGCAUCGCUGGGUAGCUAUGUAUGGACGGGAUAAGUGCUGAAAGCAUCUAAGCAUGAAGCCCCCCUCAAGAUGAGAUUUCCCAACUUCGGUUAUAAGAUCCCUCAAAGAUGAUGAGGUUAAUAGGUUCGAGGUGGAAGCAUAGCGAUAUGUGCAGCUGACGAAUACUAAUCGAUCGAAGACUUAAUCAA
rnacentral:rRNA from 1 species